UAGCCAGACUCCUACGGGAGGCAGCAGUGAGGAAUAUUGGUCAAUGGGCGAGAGCCUGAACCAGCCAAGUCGCGUGAGGGAUGACUGCCCUAUGGGUUGUAAACCUCUUUUGUAUGGGGGGAAUAAGCUUUACGAGUAGAGUGAUGACAGUACCAUACGAAUAAGCAUCGGCUAACUCCGUGCCAGCAGCCGCGGUAAUACGGAGGAUGCGAGCGUUAUCCGGAUUUAUUGGGUUUAAAGGGUGCGCAGGCGGCGAGUUAAGUCAGCGGUAAAAUUUCGGGGCUCAACCCCGACAAGUCGUUGAAACUGGCUUGCUAGAGUGGGCGAGAAGUAUGCGGAAUGCGUGGUGUAGCGGUGAAAUGCAUAGAUAUCACGCAGAACUCCGAUUGCGAAGGCAGCAUACCGGCGCCCAACUGACGCUCAGGCACGAAAGCGUGGGUAUCGAACAGGAUUAGAUACCCCUGUAC
rnacentral:rRNA from 1 species